AUGGCAGAAUGCUUCAAUAAGGUGCUCAAGGGUGUACGUGCAUUACCCGUGACGGCAAUAGUUCAAUACACAUUUGACAAGAUGAAUGAAUACUUUUUACAGCACUCAAUGGAGACUGAUAAGCAGAUUGCUGGUGAGAACAAGGAUAAGCACAAGUACCCUCCAAAGGUUGAAGAAUGGUUGGAAUUUCAAUCACGAAAGACAGACUCCGAAGAAGCUGUACUAUAUGAUGACAACGAGUGGAAGUAUGAGGUGAAAGAGCCCGGAGGAACCACAAACGAUGGCCGCCAACACGAAGGCCGGGCUUUCAAGGUCUCCCUAACACGGUGUGAUUGCAGCUGCAUGAGGCCAUCUUUGCUUCAUCUCCCAUGCUCGCACUUGUUAAAUGCAUCCCGGGUUAGGAAUGUGGACGUCAAUCACCCUCUUACCGUGAGGGAGUCCGAGUUCUCAAUCAUGAUGGUAAAGAAUACAUGGACUCCACGGUUCCAGCCAUACUUGGACCAAUCACAAUGGCCGGAGUAUCAUGGAGUUCAACUAUGGUCGGACCCAGAAUUGAAGGUCGUUAGACGGGGAAGAUGUAUGACAAAGCGUCUUAGAGGUGACAUGGACGGAUGGGGCCGUGGUGGCGGUGGAGAAUACGGCACCGGCCAAUUCCAAGAGCCUCGUGAGCAAUCCCGUUGUGGGGGCUGCAGUAAUGGGGGACACAACACAAGAACUUGUCCCAAACCAAGAAAGAGAUCAAAGAAAAAUGGUGCAAGCACAAGCCAAGCAAAUGAUAGCCAACCAAGUGAACCAAGGGGUAGCCAACCAAGUCAAACAAGUGGUGGAGUGCCAAACCACUCAAAAUCAAACAAGCCAACGAGGAACUAG
rnacentral:rRNA from 1 species